rnacentral:misc_RNA from 1 species
UCCUCUGCAGCAAUGCGAUUUGACUCGUGUCUUUGUUGACCGAGUUUAAACAGAGCUAGAGGAUGGUCAGUUUGGACUAGUCCGAGUGCUAAGCAUUCUUGGGCCUAGGCUGGAUUGCCCAUUAAUCUAUCUUUAU